AACGAACGCUGGCGGCAGGCUUAACACAUGCAAGUCGAACGCCCUCUUCGGAGGGAGUGGCAGACGGGUGAGUAACACGUGGGAACCUACCUAGGGGUACGGAAUAACUCGGGGAAACUCGUGCUAAUACCGUAUACGACCUUCGGGUGAAAGAUUUAUCGCCCCUAGAUGGGCCCGCGUUGGAUUAGCUAGUUGGUGGGGUAAAAGCCUACCAAGGCGACGAUCCAUAGCUGGUCUGAGAGGAUGAUCAGCCACACUGGGACUGAGACACGGCCCAGACUCCUACGGGUGGCAGCAGUGGGGAAUCUUGGACAAUGGGGGAAACCCUGAUCCAGCCAUGCCGCGUGAGUGAUGAAGGCCCUAGGGUUGUAAAGCUCUUUCGCCAGGGAAGAUAAUGACGGUACCUGGAUAAGAAGCCCCGGCUAACUCCGUGCCAGCAGCCGCGGUAAUACGGAGGGGGCUAGCGUUGUUCGGAAUUACUGGGCGUAAAGCGCACGUAGGCGGCUAUCCAAGUUGGGGGUGAAAUCCCUGGGCUUAACCCAGGAACUGCCUUCAAAACUGGAUGGCUAGAGUCCGAGAGAGGUGAGUGGAAUUUCCAGUGUAGAGGUGAAAUUCGUAGAUAUUGGAAAGAACACCAGUGGCGAAGGCGGCUCACUGGCUCGGUACUGACGCUGAGGUGCGACAGCGUGGGGAGCAAACA
rnacentral:rRNA from 1 species